rnacentral:rRNA from 1 species
CCUGGCUCAGAUUGAACGCUGGCGGCAUGCCUUACACAUGCAAGUCGAACGGCAGCACGGGUGCUUGCACCUGGUGGCGAGUGGCGAACGGGUGAGUAAUACAUCGGAACAUGUCCUGUAGUGGGGGAUAGCCCGGCGAAAGCCGGAUUAAUACCGCAUACGAUCUACGGAUGAAAGCGGGGGACCUUCGGGCCUCGCGCUAUAGGGUUGGCCGAUGGCUGAUUAGCUAGUUGGUGGGGUAAAGGCCUACCAAGGCGACGAUCAGUAGCUGGUCUGAGAGGACGACCAGCCACACUGGGACUGAGACACGGCCCAGACUCCUACGGGAGGCAGCAGUGGGGAAUUUUGGACAAUGGGCGAAAGCCCGAUCCAGCAAUGCCGCGUGUGUGAAGAAGGCCUUCGGGUUGUAAAGCACUUUUGUCCGGAAAGAAAUCCUUGGUUCUAAUAUAGCCGGGGGAUGACGGUACCGGAAGAAUAAGCACCGGCUAACUACGUGCCAGCAGCCGCGGUAAUACGUAGGGUGCGAGCGUUAAUCGGAAUUACUGGGCGUAAAGCGUGCGCAGGCGGUUUGCUAAGACCGAUGUGAAAUCCCCGGGCUCAACCUGGGAACUGCAUUGGUGACUGGCAGGCUAGAGUAUGGCAGAGGGGGGUAGAAUUCCACGUGUAGCAGUGAAAUGCGUAGAGAUGUGGAGGAAUACCGAUGGCGAAGGCAGCCCCCUG